AAAAUAAAAUGAAACAGAAAAAAUAAAAAUUAGGAAAAAGGAUGAGGCGGUUGAUAUUUUAAAGAAAUUUCAAAAUGUAAAAAUUCUCCUCUCAUCACACGACAUGUGUCAAAGGGAGUUUAAAAACUAAAACAAAAAACUCCUUUCCAGCCCUCUCAACAUGUAUUAUGAGAAGAAGAAAAAAAGCAACCUCCUUCUUCUCCAAACCAUUCUUUCUCAAGGUGCAUAAAAAUAAAACCCCAUUUUUAAAAAAAAAC
rnacentral:lncRNA from 1 species